CGGCCGCCGUGCUUUCGGGCCUGACCGUCCCCAGUGACUUGGCUUUUCUCACCCUCCUGCCUAGAGCCAGGAGGCCUGGGCGCGUACGUGGCCGGGAAGCCGGUGUGCUCCGCUUUUGGCCACGGAGAUCGUACUGAAUAGGUGUCCCUGUUUUUUGUUUGUUUGUUUGUUUUUUUAAACUGAUGUACCAGCUCGUGUUCUUGGAAAGCCAGAGCCAGAGCUGAAGGAAACCCGGGUUUACUCUUAGUUCUGUCUACUGCAGAGCAUGUAGCUUGAAGUACCUCUGCUAGAAAAUACAUUGCUCGAUUACAGUUAACACCGAAAUAACAUGGGUGGUGUGUGGAAAGCAAGGAAAUGAUGUCACUCACAUUCACUUGGUGUGGAAAUGUAAACUUCGCCAGAAGAACCAGCUGUAACAGAUGUGGUCGAGAGAAGACAACUGAGGCCAAGAUGAUGAAAGCUGGGGGAACAGAAAUAGGAAAGACACUGGCAGAGAAGAGCCGGGGCUUAUUUAGUGC
rnacentral:lncRNA from 1 species